rnacentral:tRNA from 1 species
GCGGAUGUGGCGGAAUGGCAGACGCGCAGCGCUCAGGACGCUGUAGGAGCAAUCCUGUGGAGGUUCAAGUCCUCUCAUCCGCACCA